ACACGGCCCAGACUCCUACGGGAGGCAGCAGUGGGGAAUAUUGCACAAUGGGCGCAAGCCUGAUGCAGCCAUGCCGCGUGUAUGAAGAAGGCCUUAGGGUUGUAAAGUAAUUUCAGCGGGGAGGAAGGUGAUAAGGCUUAAUACCCUUAUCAAUUGACGUUACCCGCACAAGAAGCACCGGCUAACUCCGUGCCAGCAGCCGCGGUAA
rnacentral:rRNA from 1 species